rnacentral:rRNA from 1 species
UACGUAGGGACCAAGCGUUGUUCGGAUUUACUGGGCGUAAAGGGCGCGUAGGCGGCGUGACAAGUCACUUGUGAAAUCUCUGGGCUUAACCCAGAACGGCCAAGUGAAACUGUUGUGCUAGAGUGCAGAAGGGGCAAUCGGAAUUCUCGGUGUAGCAGUGAAAUGCGUAGAUAUCGAGAGGAAGACCGGUGGCGAAGGCGGAUCUCUGGACAGUUCCUGACGCUGAGGCGCGAAGGCCAGGGGAGCAAACGGG